rnacentral:rRNA from 1 species
UACGUAGGGGGCUAGCGUUGUCCGGAAUCAUUGGGCGUAAAGCGCGUGUAGGCGGCCCGGUAAGUCCGCUGUGAAAGUCGGGGGCUCAACCCUCGGAUGCCGGUGGAUACUGUCGGGCUCGAGUACGGAAGAGGCGAGUGGAAUUCCUGGUGUAGCGGUGAAAUGCGCAGAUAUCGGGAGGAACACCAGUGGCGAAGGCGACUUCCUGGCCUGUUCUUGACGCUGAGGCGCGAAAGCUAGGGGAGCAAACGGG